GGGAAGGUGGCUCAGUGGUAGAGUGCUUGCCUUGCAUGCAUGAGGCAUUGGGUUCCAUUCCU
rfam:Dipodomys ordii contig_72584, whole genome shotgun sequence.